UCAAAUAAAGCAAGUUCAAGAUCAUGAAGAGCUCUACCAUGAUAAUUCAUUUCCUCUGCUUGGCACUCUUAUCACGCCUUUUUACUCCAUCCAUAGGUAAAUUUAUCCUUAAAAGUUAAUGAAGUAAUAUUUUUAAAAAUUUCUUUAAGUUCUUGUAAAAGCCAAAUUUACAUUCUUCCAAUUUUACAUUUAUCCAGUGUUUAUUUUUGUUAUUUUUAAUGUACGAUAUUUGUUCAGGAUCAAGUGGCUCCAAUCUUUGCCCCAGAUAUUUUCAAACAUACACUCCGUGUGCUUCGAGUCCAUGCCUCGUUGAAGGGAAGAAAUGGUAUCCUACAAUCAUAGAUUGUAAAUGUUUUAAAGUUUCGCCGAAAUUAAAUCAAUGUAACUGCAUGGAACAUUGUAAACGUGCUUUCCCAAUCCUGCCUUCAGCGGUGGUCUCGGCCCAGACACAACCUCGGGCUUGGCCCCACACCCCAUAAUACCAUUUGAAUAGUU
rnacentral:lncRNA from 1 species